rnacentral:rRNA from 1 species
CGAACGAGAAGCGAACCUGCGAAGGCAAGCGGAUCUCUUAAAGACCGUUCUCAGUUCGGACUGUAGGCUGCAACUCGCCUACACGAAGCUGGAAUCGCUAGUAAUCGCGGAUCAGCACGCCGCGGUGAAUACGUUCCCGGGCCUUGUACACACCGCCCGUCACACCAUGAGAGUCUGUAACACCCAAAGCCGGUGGGAUAACCUUUAUAGGAGUCAGCCGUCUAAGGUAGGACAGAUGAUUAGGGUGAAGUCGUAACAAGGUAGC